AAUUGUCCCUCCAUACUCAGCACUGUUUUUCUUCAGACAAGAUACUGAUGAGGACAUUCAGUCUCAGAGAAUGCCAGUGUCCUAUGCCAGUGUGAUGCUGCACAGAGGACAAGGAAGGUAUUACACUGAAAAGAACAUUUUGGUUCUGCUGCCCUUGGCUCCAAAAGAAACAGAAUAGUUAGACUUCUUGGCAUUUUCUGUACAUAAAAUGGCUCUUCCGUGACAGGGAAGAGUGGGACUGAUACUACCAAACUCACCCUCAUCCAGAGGUAGCCUGCAGCUUGGUGGCAAGAGUGUUUUCCUGUACAACGAGGAUUCAGUUCGGCCAGAUUUCUACAACAUCAGAGGAAGGGAACCUGUUUUCAUUCCUGAUCCUCCAUCUGCCUGUGCCAGACCACAAGGAAUAUUGGGAAAACUGGAGGCUGGAGGAUGUGGAAAGAAAGCAGUGAAGAUCCCAGCUGGAGAAAAAGUCCUGGAACUGUGGGAAGACCCUGAGGAUCAGCGAGCUGCAUGGAGACAAGUGCUGGAGGAUGAGCAGGAACCUUAGUCACUAGCAUCUGAGAUGAGUGCUUAGGAGCAGCAUUACAGCAUCACUGUCAGGGACUUCAUCACUGGGUUGGUGAGCAGCAAAUCACAACAUUUUUGCUGUGAAGAAAAAAUAAGUAUGCAGGAAAUAGCUCUAAGAUGUCCAUUACAUACACUGUCCUAAGAGAGAGUCUGAAAUACUGGAGACAUGGUCUGACAGAUCAGAGGGCUUUGCUUCACCUUCAAGAACUCAACAGAAGUCACUAUCAUAUGCAGAGCCAGUGAGCUGAUCUUCUGCUGCUCUUUGGAAAUUGAGUACACCUGGAAAAGAACAGAUACUGUGCUGUAUGAAAUAGAGGAUGGGGAAAAAAGGCAUGUCAUCAUACACCAGCCCUCACAGAUUCUUAAAACGCUCUCAGUUGGAGAAUUAAGUAUAUGUAAUAUAGGAUCCGUAGCUGUGAACUGGUGUAAGGGUGAAGGAAAGGCCAACUCCUAACUAAAACAAUUAUAUAGGAAAGCAGACUGUUGCAGUUUGGUCUUUGAGUGGCUUGUAAGUGAAAAAAUCAUUUUGCAAGGCUUGAACAAGGAGACUGAUAGCAUUUUCUGAUACUGAGAUUACUAAACAAGACAGAAGUGAUGAAAGUGAUAAGAAUUAGAUCUUGUGCACGCUUUAAAAAGUUCAGGCAGAGUUGGACAUUAAGGCCAAAUUAACAGGGCAGUGUGCAGGAUACUUAGAAAUAUUUUGCAUGAGGAUUCCUUUGUAUUUCACUUUUAAGUCCAUCUUAUCAUAAAUCAUCGCCAGUCCCAUCAAGUUACAGAAAAGCUACACUAGAGUAUUCAGUCAGAGAAAUUUUCCACUCUUUUUAUUCUAUUUUCCUUUCUGCCUCGACUAUGAAACACUUCUUCCAUAUUCAUCAGAAUAAUGCCUUUCUCUCAGCCAUUCUA
ensembl:lncRNA